rnacentral:rRNA from 1 species
CCUACGUGAUGCAGCAGUGGGGAAUAUUGCACAAUGGGGGAAACCCUGAUGCAGCGACGCCGCGUGAGUGAAGAAGUAUUUCGGUAUGUAAAGCUCUAUCAGCAGGGAAGAAAAUGACGGUACCUGAUUAAGAAGCCCCGGCUAACUACGUGCCAGCAGCCGCGGUAAUACGUAGGGGGCAAGCGUUAUCCGGAUUUACUGGGUGUAAAGGGAGCGUAGACGGCAGCACAAGUCUGGAGUGAAAUGCCGGGGCUUAACCCCGGAACUGCUUUGGAUACUGAGCAGAUAGAGUGCAGGCGAGGUAAGUGGAAUGCCUAGUGUAGCGGUGAAAUGCGGAGAUAUUAGGAGGAACACCAGUGGCGAAGGCGGCUUACUGGACUGUAACUUACGUUGAGGCUCGAAAGCGUGGGGAGCAAACAGGAUUAGAUACCCUUGUAGUC